rnacentral:rRNA from 1 species
UGAAUAAGGAUCGGCUAACUCCGUGCCAGCAGCCGCGGUCAUACGGAGGAUCCAAGCGUUAUCCGGAAUUACUGGGCGUAAAGAGUUGCGUAGGUGGCACUGUGUGUCAGUAGUGAAAGCGUGUGGCUCAACCAUAUACACAUUACUGAAACUGCAGAGCUAGAGGACGAGAGAGGUAACUGGAAUUCCUUGUGUAGGAGUGAAAUCCGUAGAUAUAAGGAGGAACACCGAUGGCGUAGGCAGGUUACUGGCUCGUUUCUGACACUAAGGCACGAAAGCGUGGGGAGCAAACGGGAUUAGAUACCCCGGUAGUCCACGCCGUAAACGAUGAAUGCUAGCUGUUAUGGGUAUCGACCCCCGUAGUAGCGAAGCUAACGCGUUAAGCAUUCCGCCUGUGGAGUACGGUCGCAAGACUAAAACAUAAAGGAAUUGACGGGGACCCGCACAAGCGGUGGAGCGUGUUGUUUAAUUCGAUGGUAAACGAAGAACCUUACCCAGGCUUGACAUCCAUGGAAUUUUUCCGAAAGGAAAGAGUGCUUUUAGAACCAUGUGACAGGUGUUGCAUGGCCGUCGUCAGCUCGUGUCGUGAGAUGUUUGGUUAAGUCCAUCAACGAGCGCAACCCUUAUGGUCUGUUGUAUUUCUCAGGCCAGACCGCCCCGGUAACGGGGAGGAAGGAGGGGAUGAUGUCAGGUCAGUAUUACCCUUACGUCUGGGGCUACAAACACGCUACAAUGGCCGGUACAAAGGGCAGCCAAGUCGCGAGACGGAGCAAAUCCCAUCAAAGCCGGUCUCAGUUCGGAUAGCAGGCUGAAACUCGCCUGCUUGAAGCCGGAAUCGCUAGUAACGGUAGGUCAGCUAUACUACCGUGAAUACGUUCCCGGGUCUUGUACACACCGCCCGUCAAACCAUGAAAGUCGGGGGUACCUGACGUGUGAGCUUUGCCUCGCCCUAAGGUAAACCAGAUGAUUGGGGUUAAGUCGUAACAAGGUAUCCGUACGGGAACGUGCGGAUGGAUUACCUCCUU